AUUUGAAUAGUUUUAAUAAAAUUAAGUUCUGUGGAUCCUUAGAUGGGUCCCCCUUCAAAUU
rnacentral:tRNA from 1 species